CUAUAUAAACAAAAAGGUUAGGGAAGGGAACAAAGCAAACGCUCAGAAGGGAAAGAAUGAGGCUACGGAGAGUUAAGGAUUUUCAUUGAAAGGGUGGUUGUCUGCUCUCUGCAAUUAGCCAAUGAUUUCAGUAAGAACCCAAACAACAGCCCUUUUUAUCAAUUUUAACGGAGUCGUUUGGUAAGGUGUAUAAGAAUAGCCAUUUCUCUCUUUUUUUCUUUUUCUUUUUUUAAAUGCUUUCGCCGGAGCAUUCAAUGUUGCCGGUGGAGCUGGUGGAAACGGUGGCGGUGAGUAUAAUCGGCGGCUAAAAAGAGGCGAUGAUGAUUUUUGUCAUUCCCUUCUGAGCUUAUUAAUCAAUCGGGGCAAUUUGAGAUAACCCGACCCGUAUCUUGGCGGGGCAUGUUCCCAGUGGGUUUUUGCAGCCAUGGCGUCGUUGGACUCUCUUUUUUGCCUGAGGUUCCUGUAUUCUUGUAUAUGUGGAUUUGUGCGUGCGUUUAUUUCAGUUCUUAUCUUCUCCUCACUGGCUGUGUUUCAAUGCAAUGCAAGCAAAGUAUCACGUCAAUGAAAUCGAAAAGGGGAAACAACUGGCUAUGAUGAUAAUGUUUGCGAGCUAACUGAAAUCGGGCACUGCAGUUUAGUUGCCUGUAUCUUGGCGGGGCAACUUCAAUUACUGUGAUUUGUAGCCAUGGCAAUUGCCAGAGAACUCAAUGCUCCUGGUACAAAUCGAGUCUGAAGUUGAAAGUAGAGCAUUAACAGUAGUAGUGGUAGUAGUAAUUGGAUAGUUGGACCUCAUUCUGAUUUAUGAUCUUCGUCCAAAGGAUCCUAAUUUCUUGGAA